UUCUCCCUCCUCCUCUCCACCAAAAAUCGUCACCUUAGAAAGGAUUUUCUAUGCUUUCUCGCAGUGAUUGGCGCGGUUGGAACGUGCCCUAGCACUUCACCGAACUUCCAAAAUUCACUUCUUUUCUCCACCAAAAUCCUUCUUCACUCUCUUGUGAUCCCUCCUCCACUGAAUUCAAGUCUCCUUGCCUGCUACUUUAUUGGAUAUGGCUCCAAAGAUGAAACUUCCCCAAAGAAGGAAAUCAAUCUGUGAGCCUGAGGAAAUUAUCCGAAAGAAAAGGCAUGCUCAGUCUUCCAGUGCUCCCACUCCACCUGCUUAAGGUCCCUCUCAAUCCUCCAUAAGCCCCAGUGUAAAUCCUCUUUCUGAUAGAAAAGUAGAAACCGAGAAAAAUAUAGAUUUUUGGUUCUUUGAGAAAGAGGGCUUUACUUUUGCUACCAAAAUUAAAAACCAAGGAUGAAAACUCUACUGCUCCCUUAAGGAAGUCACCUAUGUUGAUCUAGUUAGAGAGUUCUACCAGAACCUAAAUUAUGGAAACGGAUCAGUGACUUCAACAGUCAAGGGGAUUGAUAUAUGCUUGGAUUCUAGGAUAUUGGGAGAAAUACUUCAGUUGCCUAGUGAAGGAUACUCAUAUAUGGAACUCCCAAUUAAAGAAGAGGGGAUCAGAAUUAUUUUAGGAGAAACUUAUUCAGGAAGCUUAAACAAAUUGGAAGCAAAGAUUUUGUCCAUUGAGAUGAGGGUCCUGCAUCAGAUGGUAACAAAGCUCUUCUUUCCUAGGAGUGGUAGACAUAACUUACUGUCUGGCAGAGAUGUAUGUGUCAUGUUUCAUGUCAUCACUCAGACCCCCCUAAACCUCCCUGNNN
rnacentral:lncRNA from 1 species